rnacentral:tRNA from 1 species
GCCCGCAUAGCUCAGUAGGUAGAGCAACUGACUUGUAAUCAGUAGGUCGUUGGUUCAAUUCCGACUGCGGGCUCCA